GUCAUUUAGCCGGUUCACGUCUGUAGUCGUCAUUAUACGGCAGAGGCCGUUGCUGUGGAACAAGAAGCUUGCGAACAGAACAGGACUGCGCGCGCUAUUUUAAUGAGCGGAUCAGGUGCCACACCCUCUACUACAGAGUGCCCAAAUCCGUCGCUUUCCCUGUUGUAACACAGGGCUGAAUAUACUCAGUGACCUGCACUCAUGCUGCAUUGUGUGGGGACAGAAAUGGCAUAAUUAUUCCAGAGUGGCCGGGCAGCUUCACGGUGCUCCCCUGUGUGUCCUGGCAGCUGGACGCCUCUGGUUUGCGUGUCGAGCUUUACCCAGACACACGGCUCUUCUUGCUGUAAAUGUCUCAGCACAACACCGUGGCCCCACCUACCCCUCCAUCCCGUGGAGGAGCAGAGUCCCGCGGAGGAGGGGUGGGAUCCCCUCCCUCUGACACACACCCACUCCGAUGUGGCUCGUACACGCGCUGCUCUGAGGCAGCAGUCUGAGACUGAGGAGCGCUGGAUAGACCGUGCCAGGGCGUGCAGGUGUCCCACCCUUCUGCAGCGCACAUGGAUCUUCACCAGUCCAUAGUGCUGCACGGCAGCAGAGGAGACGCUUCCAUGCCAACGGCUGGUUACAUGUGCUGUGGCUUCGGACCCACCUUAACCCUCAUGACAAACUGCCACCUGAAUAAAAUUAGUUAAGUAAGUAUGAUGCAGUUAUUUUCACUGUAUAUUGUAUUUAAAACUCCUGUUAAAUCUAG
rnacentral:lncRNA from 1 species